rnacentral:rRNA from 1 species
GGAGGGUGUGAGCGUUAUUCGGAAUUAUUGGGCGUAAAGAGCGCGUAGGCGGUCUUUUAAGUCAGAUGUGAAAGCCCGAGGCUUAACCUCGGAAGUGCAUUUGAAACUAAGAGACUUGAGUAUGGGAGAGGGAAGUGGAAUUCCUGGUGUAGAGGUGAAAUUCGUAGAUAUCAGGAGGAACACCGGUGGCGAAGGCGACUUCCUGGACCAAUACUGACGCUGAGGCGCGAAGGCGUGGGUAGCAAACAGGGAUUAGAUACCCUGGUAGUCCACGCAGUAAACGGUGAACACUAGGUGUAGCGGGUAUUGACCCCCUGCUGUGCCGAAGCUAACGCAUUAAGUGUUCCGCCUGGGGAGUGCGACCGCAAGGUUA